rnacentral:rRNA from 1 species
GGGGAAUAUUGGACAAUGGGGGCAACCCUGAUCCAGCCAUGCCGCGUGUGUGAAGAAGGCCUUUUGGUUGUAAAGCACUUUAAGCAGGGAGGAGAGGCUAAUGGUUAAUACCCAUUAGAUUAGACGUUACCUGCAGAAUAAGCACCGGCUAACUCUGUGCCAGCAGCCGCGGUGAUACAGAGGGUGCGAGCGUUAAUCGGAAUUACUGGGCGUAAAGCGAGUGUAGGUGGCUCAUUAAGUCACAUGUGAAAUCCCCGGGCUUAACCUGGGAACUGCAUGUGAUACUGGUGGUGCUAGAAUAUGUGAGAGGGAAGUAGAAUUCCAGGUGUAGCGGUGAAAUGCGUAGAGAUCUGGAGGAAUACCGAUGGCGAAGGCAGCUUCCUGGCAUAAUAUUGACACUGAGAUUCGAAAGCGUGGGUAGCAAA